rnacentral:rRNA from 1 species
GACGAACGCUGGCGGCGUGCUUAACACAUGCAAGUCGAACGGAAAGGCCCUGCUUUUGUGGGGUGCUCGAGUGGCGAACGGGUGAGUAACACGUGAGUAACCUGCCCUUGACUUUGGGAUAACUUCAGGAAACUGGGGCUAAUACCGGAUAGGAGCUCCUGCUGCAUGGUGGGGGUUGGAAAGUUUCGGCGGUUGGGGAUGGACUCGCGGCUUAUCAGCUUGUUGGUGGGGUAGUGGCUUACCAAGGCUUUGACGGGUAGCCGGCCUGAGAGGGUGACCGGCGACGUUGGGGCUGAGGUACGGCCCAGACUCCUACGGGAGGCAGCAGUGGGGAAUAUUGCACAAUGGGCGGAAGCCUGAUGCAGCAACGCCGCGUGCGGGAUGACGGCCUUCGGGUUGUAAACCGCUUUCGCCUGUGACGAAGCGUGAGUGACGGUAAUGGGUAAAGAAGCACCGGCUAACUACGUG